CUCACCACCUACCCGAGAAUUAAACGUUGCAUUAAUUGGGUUUCUAUAUUCAUAUGCAACUACCAAACUUUCGUACAUACAAUUCCAUCUAGUCGGCAAGGUUUAGGAACCUUUCUUUCUCUAAGGCCAUAUUCAUCACAUUUUUUGAAAUACUCUCCAAGUCUAGUUCUACGGUUUGAAUAAAAAAGCCAAUUAAGAGUCAUUCGUUCCUUUUCAAUUUCUUUGUUUAAAAUUUGCAUACCAUCACCGAUAAUUAAAUGAUAAAUAUGAC
rnacentral:lncRNA from 1 species